AUCAAAGUGGUGAAAUUGGGUUAACACGUUACACUUAGGAUGUAAAGCUUAAAAGCAUUAAGGGCUCAAAUCCCUUCUUUGAUA
rnacentral:tRNA from 1 species